rnacentral:RNase_P_RNA from 1 species
AAAGUCGGUCAGGCAAUCGCUGUUAGUUUUAAGCUAAUAGAGGAAAGUCCGGGCUCCACAGGGUGAAGUGCCAGGUAACGCCUGGGAAGUGUGAACUUACGGAAAGUGCCACAGAAAGUAAACCGCCUAGUUUACUAGGUAAGGGUGAAAGGGUGCGGUAAGAGCGCACCGCGUUGAUGGUAACAUCAAUGGCAGGGUAAACCCCACUUGGAGCAAGACCAAAUAGGAUCGCUUUAAGGUAUGACCCAUACUGCGAUCGGGUAGGUUGCUGGAGCUAGACUGGUGACAGAUAGCCAAGAUGAAUGAUUGUCCGCGACAGAACCCGGCUUAUCGACCGACUUUUUAU